ensembl:snoRNA SNORA74 Small nucleolar RNA SNORA74
CCCAGCUGUAGGCAACUGCUUGGGUUGCCUUAUACCUAGGCAAGUGUUACAGUGCUGGGAGAGAAGCAGCUAAUAAUUGGCAGGCAUU